GACGAACGCUGGCGGCGUGCCUAACACAUGCAAGUCGAGCGGAGAUGUACUGAAGAUUUAUCGGAUGUACAUCUUAGCGGCGGACGGGUGAGUAACGCGUGGGCAACCUGCCUUUCACUGGGGGAUAACACAGGGAAACCUGUGCUAAUACCGCAUGACAUCACGUAGGGCAUCCUAUGUGAUCAAAGGAGAGAUCCGGUGGAAGAUGGGGCCCCGCGUCCAAUUAGCUGGUUGGUGAGGUAAAGGCUCACCAAGGCGACGAUUGGUAGCCGAACUGAGAGGUUGAUCGGCCACAUUGGGACUGAGACACGGCCCAGACUCCUACGGGAGGCAGCAGUGGGGAAUAUUGCGCAAUGGGGGAACCCUGACGCAGCAACGCCGCGUGAAGGAGAAGGUCUUCGGAUUGAAACUUCUUUGAUGAGGGACGAAUAAAGUGACGGUACCUCAAAACAAGCCACGGCUAACUACGUGCCAGCAGCCGCGGUAAACACGAGACG
rnacentral:rRNA from 1 species